GGGUAAACUCACUCAACCCAAUGUGAACGUUACCAAACUGUUGCCUCGGCGGGGUCACGCCCCGGGUGCGUCGCAGCCCCGGAACCAGGCGCCCGCCGGAGGAACCAACCAAACUCUUUCUGUAGUCCCCUCGCGGACGUAUUUCUUACAGCUCUGAGCAAAAAUUCAAAAUGAAUCAAAACUUUCAACAACGGAUCUCUUGGUUCUGGCAUCGAUGAAGAACGCAGCGAAAUGCGAUAAGUAAUGUGAAUUGCAGAAUUCAGUGAAUCAUCGAAUCUUUGAACGCACAUUGCGCCCGCCAUAUCUGGCGGGCAUGCCUGUCCGAGCGUCAUUUCAACCCUCGAACCCCUCCGGGGGAUCGGCGUUGGGGAUCGGGACCCCUCACACGGGUGCCGGCCCCGAAAUACAGUGGCGGUCUCGCCGCAGCCUCUCCUGCGCAGUAGUUUGCACAACUCGCACCGGGAGCGCGGCGCGUCCACGUCCGUAAAACACCCAACUUUCUGAAAUGUUGACCUCGGAUCAGGUAGGAAUACCCGCUGAACUUAAGCAUAUCAAAGGCCGGGAAGAAAA
rnacentral:rRNA from 1 species